GAAAAUAUUUUCAGUCAAUCAAUAAAGAUGUAUCAAAGAUCAAGAACACAAAGAUACCUCUUUUUAAGGCCAUUGGUCAGUUCCUUGUAUUGGGCUGCACAUGGAUAUUUGGGAUGUUCCAGUUUGGUGAAGGGACAAUUGUUAUGUCGUACCUCUUCACAAUACUGAACUGCUACCAUGGAGUUUUCAUAUUUCUGCUCUAUUGUGCUGCUAACAAACAGGUCACUGAUAAAUACAAAAUUUGGCUUCGAAGACUCUUCAGCACUGCGAGAAGAGGAAAGGAACUUAGGACCAUCAAUAGUGCAACCACAGCCCCUACCAGUGCCACACCUGCU